UGAAUUUUCCUAAAGUUUUCUUUAGUUGAGAGAAAACCGUCGCUUGGUUAACGUCGCUUUUUUUUAGUAAGAAAAAAAUCUUAGUUUUUUCCCAAAACGAAUUUCUUUUAGCAACAACGAUCAAAGUUCUUUUAAUUUUCUAAACGUUUAAUUUUAAAAAAAUUAAAAUAAUAACAAACUGCUAAAAAGUUAAGCGAUUGGACGAAAUUUGAGCCAAUUUAACGAUCGAUAUUUAGGAGAGCUUUAAUAAGAAAUUCUUGUUGGAGAUCUGUUAAAUUUAAAUUCGAACCAAAAAUUCAAAAAAAUAAAAAUCCAAAAAUUUAUUUCGGAAUAUUUUUAUUC